rfam:Oreochromis niloticus linkage group LG8-24, whole genome shotgun sequence.
CCGGGAACAACAUCCUGAUGCUGUUUGGGUGUGUAAAGCAGAACUCCAGCAUCAGUGAUUUUGUUGCCAG